rnacentral:rRNA from 1 species
AAUCGCUAGUAAUCGCAGGUCAGCAUACUGCGGUGAAUACGUUCCCGGGUCUUGUACACACCGCCCGUCACACCAUGGGAGCCGGAAAUGCCCGAAGCCAGUGACCCAACCUUAGGGAGGGAGCUGUCGAAGGUGGAGCCGGUAACUGGGGUGAAGUCGUAACAAGGUACC